rnacentral:tRNA from 1 species
AGGGAUAUAGCUCAGUGGGACAGUGGGUGCUUAGCAUGCACAAGGUCCUGGGUUCAAUCCCCAGUACCUCCA